CCCCUAGAUGAAGAAGAGAUGAUCUUAUUCAUCCUCACUGGUCUCAACGUCGACUACAAUUCGAUGUGUCAGCUAUCGUGACACGAAUUGAACCAGUCUCCAUAAGUGAACUAUAUGCUCAACUUCUAAGUUCUGAA